GGCGAACGCUGGCGGCGUGCUUAACACGUGCAAGUCGAACGGAAAGGCCCUGCUUUUGUGGGGUGCUCGAGUGGCGAACGGGUGAGUAACACGUGAGUAACCUGCCCUUGACUUUGGGAUAACUUCAGGAAACUGGGGCUAAUACCGGAUAGGAGCUCCUGCUGCAUGGUGGGGGUUGGAAAGUUUCGGCGGUUGGGGAUGGACUCGCGGCUUAUCAGCUUGUUGGUGGGGUAGUGGCUUACCAAGGCUUUGACGGGUAGCCGGCCUGAGAGGGUGACCGGCCACAUUGGGACUGAGAUACGGCCCAGACUCCUACGGGAGGCAGCAGUGGGGAAUAUUGCACAAUGGGCGGAAGCCUGAUGCAGCAACGCCGCGUGCGGGAUGACGGCCUUCGGGUUGUAAACCGCUUUCGCCUGUGACGAAGCGUGAGUGACGGUAAUGGGUAAAGAAGCACCGGCUAACUACGUG
rnacentral:rRNA from 1 species